AAAUUCUGAAAGGUAAAGAAUUGCUCAAAUUCAGUUCGUGGUGUACUAUAUGGACAGGUCCCUGCAAUUUUCCAAUCUGCUCUACAGCGUUACGAUUUCCGGGUAGCCUUGAAUUACUAAUCACGCCAGAUGUACUUGGCUCUUUUUCCGAGAUGAGUUAAGGUCUGCUACAUGCUGCCCCCUGCUGCAAACGUAUUUUUAAAAAAGAGGCAACAGGACUGAACACGCAGAAGCCAAACCUCUUAUCACUUGCUGCGUGAGGCGUCAUAAUUUAUUAGCGUUGCUAAUAACGUGCACGACCAAACAUUCCAGACGGAGAAAAGAACCAGCCUGAAAAGUUUCUUAUCGAUGAACAGGCAAACGGGGUCAAGGAAUCUAACCUCAAAGGGAGGUCGGGAUACAAGGCACCCGCACCCGCACCCGAAGCACCAACAAAUAAGCCACGCGGAAUGAACAGCUAGUAACGGAUGGAGUUUCCGCCCAGCCGUGACAAGGAGCGCUUGAGCUCCUUCCCUUGAAGUCCGGGAGAGUCGAGUCCUGCUGCGCCGUCUCCCGAGAGACUAGAAUGCAAAACAUUUCACGUCACAAUGCACAGAGAACAUCGGUUCUCCAAGCAACCCGUGGCGUUUUAAAGGGGCCGUCUGAAGUGCAGUGAGAGAGAGUUGGCGCGCGGAUGAUGGAAGGAUUUUCUCAGACCCCACGGAAAAAUCGGGAUGGAGGCAACGAUUCAGAUAGCAAAGAUGCCGGAGAAGGAAGUUCAUCUUCUGAAGCUGAUAAUUCUGAUAAGUCUUCUAAAGAAAUCGUAAUAGGAGAAAUAAUGGUAGUCCAGAUAUGAGAUCAGAUAGAGGUUCUUCAGAGAAAAGAUGGAGUUGUCUUCCACAAGUGCCACAGGGAUAUCAACCUCAAGCACAGG